UCUCCACCUUCAGUGGGGUAAAACGGGGGAGGCAGGCAUAAGAUGACAUGCCAAAAAUGCUGCUUCUGAAUGCUUUUGACUGAAAAUCCCUGCAAGCAGCAGGGAGAUGACUGUCACAGUGCCCCUGCUGCCACCACAGGCAAAUGCUUUGCCACCCACUGAAAGAGGCUGGCUACUGCAGCUGAUCCAUUACAUAAUAAUGGCAGCUUUCCAGUAGGCAUAGACACAGAACAUGCCACAUCUGUCAUCAGAAUAAGCCUAGUUAAAGCGGCAACACUUCUAUCUAUGGACGAGGCCUCAAACAAGGAACCAGGAAUGCCCUGUACAGCCUCUGAAUUCCCCAAGAGAAGGAACAGAAUAACGGGGAACUAGGACCAGCUAGGUAAGAGUGUAACUGUUUGUUUUAUAUCUCGUAGGUGUCAAGCGAGGUUUAAUUCUUUGAUCUUUGUUAAGCAGCUGAGACUCGGCUGCCAGCUGUUCUGCAAAGGCUAAGGAUGAUUAUAGUGAAGUGUAACUGCCAAAGCAAACCCUUUUGUUUUGGGGGUACAUGGUCAUUUCCCCUGCCACAUGCUGAACAAGGAGAGGCCAGAUCACCAAAUAGAAGGUAUAUUUACCUAGAUAAGGUAAUAACAGAACUUUAGCACCCAGCGUUUGUCAAAGAUUUCUCUAUCUCCUCUGAGAGUCUUGUGGCUAGGAGCCUGAGGUCAGCAAGUACUUUGCUGGAGACUAGAGACGGCAUUUGUUCUAGAGCAGGUGGCAUGCUCAUUUCCGGAUACACCGUAAUUUGAAUGCAUGUGUGGUGGCAGAAGUGCUAAAAGAGUUUAGAGUUGUAGACUUGUUACACUAGAAGGUGACUCAGUUAACGAAACUCUAUCAGGACAACGUAGGCCCAAAACGGAGGUUUUAUAAAAAUCUUACUUGUCAGAAAGAAAAAUUCCCCUGCGGUGUCUGCAGCCUAAACAGUACAGUAUAGCUACUGACCGAGAACCACAAAAUGCAGCUAACUGUUCUCUCACUGAGUAUUGUCUCAUCUGUGUUUUACAGCCCAACCCUGCAGUUUCUACCAAGCAUAGCAUUCACUAUCCUGAUCAAUCCACUCAUUUCAAGUGUCUCCAUGGUUGGGCCCUUCAGCCAUGAUCCUGCAAACUUAAGUAUGUGAGUAGUCCCAUUGACUUCAAAGGGACUACUCGUGUGCCUAAAAAGUAAAGCAUGUGCAUAAGCAUUUGCAGGAUCAGGGAGUUAGAUCAAAAGCUCUUCAGAGCAGGAAUUGUCUUUAUUAAUGUUAGCUACCGUGGUACUUAAAUAAAUUCAAUAACAAUUAUUACAAAAGAGAAACUAACUCUGUUGUUAAUUGCUAAAGCGGAGAUUUGUAAUGCAAAUAAAUAGUGGAAAAAUAAAUUAGACAUUUAAAAUCCUUUGUUUUAAAGCUGUAAGUUAUUUGUACCACAGUUAAGGGCAUUUAAAAAUCAUAUAUAGAUAUAGCUAUAUAAUUUUUAGCUGCUAGCAUACUUUCAUUUAUCCCCCUCUCCAUACUUCUCUUUAUCAAACAAUAGAAAUAAUUAGGGUUAUGGUAGGGGAUUGCUAAUGGAAAAUUCUAGCUUUCUGGUUCAGGGCCAGAUAUUUUUUACCUCCUCUAAGUUUUAAAUUUAAAGUAAAAAUAUAUUUGAACUAGUUCAUGCCCACUGGUUGUUUGAGUCGUGUAUGUUCUUUGAGACAGUAUAUUCCUGCAAUGGAUGGUGACCUAGAAAUCCAGAUCAGAGGUAAUCCCCCAUUAUUUAGCCCUUUUACUAUUGGUAUGUUUGCCAAACAAUGCUCCAUGUCAGAUUUCACUGAUGACCUUAAGGGUGGUUGCCAAGGAUUUUGGAUUCCCCCCUAAAAAGAGAGUCCCAAUGAAGUUAUUACAUUCUUGGGCAUCAAGUUAGAUUGAGGGAGAAUUAAAUUACACUUUCAUGAGGUGCCAGGCACAGCUUUCACAGGCUGAUGCAAUCAUUAAUUUGUCACCUUGAUUUUGUUUGCAGAGCCAUUUCUCCAUGGCAGACUUUUUUUUACAAUGCCCGAUUGAAGCUAUAAUGAAAUGUUAAAAGUAAUGGCAUUAUUUUCUAGAGCUAUUAAGGGAGAAUCUGGCAUUUCCAAUGGUUGUUAUAGAGCAUUUAAUGUCAUAGGAUAACAACAACUUGUGUCCAACAAGGAUUUGUAGUUGUUUACAGAUGUGUUGGCAGGAAAGGGUUUGGCUUUUGUUUUCCCAGGUGUGCAGAGGUCUGGCUAACAGCACUGAGUUAAUGGAGCUCUACCCCGGAACAUUUCCCCCCAUAAUUAUGGCAAUGGUAAUUUUGGGUAAAAAGUUCUUCAAAGCAUUGGCACUGAUAUCUGAUUUAAGAAUAUGUGGAGAGUUAACAGAUGGGCAGUGGAUUCAGGCCUGCGAUAGAGUUACUGAGGGAGGUUUUGUUUUAAAAUGUCUCUUACUUAAUAUACCCAUGAAGGCCAGGCAUGUGCCCAUGGGCUGUAAUCAAAUAACUGACUCUCCCUCUCUCAUUUCCAGCAGUCUCGUUUCAGGUUACUGGCACCGGAGGUUAAAGAACAUCCACGUCAAAUACAAAAAGCCCUUUGGUAAUUAAGGGUAUCGAGACUAGGCGGAGGAGAAUGGAAAUGGCUAGCUCUCAGCACAUGAUAGGUCUAAUCUAAGGGCCUGUAUAAUUAACAUACAUUACUUUCUGCAGGGGUAAAGGUUUAUAUGGGAUCUGGUUAAUUCUAAUAUAAGAGAUAGUCCUGUCUGCAUUACACAGGAGUGGCGGAAGCUAGGCUUAUUUCCCGGCUGGUCUUUAGUUAGUAGGUGCGGCAGUUCUGUUCCCAAGGCAGGCAGGUCCCAGAUCUCAGUUCCAGUGAGAAGAAUGUUAAAGGGCUAAGGGAGGCAACAGGGAGUUGUCAGGUAGACAACACAGCAUCAUUCAUCAAGUACUGACAGCUUUACUGGAAACCAAAGACAAAAUGUGCAAUAGUUAUGCUCCUGGGUAAACAUAGCAUUCAUUAUGUCAUUUUUAGGAGUGUUCAGGAUCAGUGACUCAGUUGGUCUCUAAACGAGACCUAGGAAUGUUAUUUCUCAAUAUUGUCAUGGAUGAGUCUGAGAAUCCACAUUUAUCAGUCUACAAGAUGGAUGUAAAAGGUUGCAAUGCAUGGGUUAGCUACAUAGAACAUUGGAUACAGUUCUUCAUCUAGUUCUGCUUGGUACAUCUUCAGAUACUUACCAAGGUUUGGAUUUAACCCAACCAAGUAUGCCACCUUUCGAUUCAUUUAUACGUGGAUCACCAACUCAAUAGCACAGCUGAGUGUGACAGAAUAUAGGAUCAAAAGAUUCAUCCAAAAAGUUUGAGACAUUUUAUUCAUAUAUAAGGAUUACCAUGGCACUGAUCACUGUCAUAUCUAAUUUGUGGUUUGGAGACAAUGAGAUUGUUCUAGCUGUUACCACUGAGAUAUUUGUGUUCUUUGAUAAAAUACUAAAAAAAUAAUUCAAUGAGGUUUAGGUCUGUGGCUACUCUGAUGUCCUAGGUCAGGAUCCUUCCCCCAGAAGGACCCAUGGAUUGCUGUUGGUGAUGCAUUGGCUGGAGGAUGCCAAGCUAAAAUCAUUUAGUAAAACACAUGAAGUGGAAUCAAGUGAAGGUUGUUCUUCUCUUUGUCUGAAGAUGUUUGCCGGUACUGAAUGUGCUAGUGGGAGGUGAUAUGGGAGGAAACUAAUUCAUAAUAAGACUUUUGCCCACUUUGAGACUGUUUAAGGAACCGUGGCCAGCCUGGUGCCAAAAAAGGCAAAUCCAUAUAGCAAAGAAACAAUGGAGAGCCACAGAACUUGUUCUGUUUAACCAUUUCUUUGCUGACUGACUACUGUCUUGUGAAGUAAAUUCAGUACAUACACACACACACACACACACACACACACUUUACUGGCAGUGUUCCACCAACUGGCUUCAUGCUGUAACUUCUCACGCAUCACUGUCUUAUUGUAGUAGAACAGGGAUGGCCAAACCAUGGCUCGUGAGCCACAUGUGGCUCUUUUACAAUUAAAGUGCAGCUCUCAGAGCCCCCCUAUUCUCCACCUACCAGACUACUUGGAAGAGCUCGGGGCUUCUGCCCUGCGGUGGGGUGCUGGGGCUAGGAGCUUCUGCCCGGAAGGGAGGGGGUCUUGGGGCUUCAGCCCUGCAGAAGGCACCUGCCAGGGCUCGGGGCUUCAGCAGGAGCAGGGCUAAAGCCUCGUGCCCUAGCAGGUGCGCCCUGAGGGGUAGAAACCCUGAGACCCCCCAGCCCUGCAGGGCAGAAGCCCUGAGCACCGGCUCUCAAACUUCUGAAGAUUAUUGUAUGCAGCUCGCAGGGUCAGUAAAUUUGGCCAUCCCUGUACUAGAAUUACCAGAAUCUGAGAGCCAUAGCCUCAAGCAUCAAGGUAUUACCCCCUUGCUGUGAUGGCCCAUUCAUAUUUCAAAGAAAGCAAUGGAAUUUUUCACUUGACCAGAGCUCAAAGAGCCGGGAAGCUAGGACUUACUUGGGUCAUUCUUCAGGAUUCAAGCAGGGAAGGCUGUAGGUGGGAGGAGCAGUACUCUUAGGCAGGUGUGGCUGUGAAUGUUGUCCUGUUCUGGAGAAUGAGUUGUUUUCCCCACAGAGACAGAGUGGUCUAGUGAAGAGGCCAUAUACUGGAAGUCAGGAGAUCUGGAUCGCAUUCCUGAUUCUGCCACUAACUCAGUCUUUGAUGUUAGGCAAAGUCACUUAACAUCUCCAUGCCUCAGUUUCUCUAUCUGUAAAAGAGAAAUGAUGAUACUUUGCAAAGUGCUUUGAGUUCUAUGGAUAAACAUAGGACCUCAUUUAUUACUAUUGUUAGUCUUUCUAUUUUAGUAGCAUCCAAAUGCCCUAAUCAGGAUUGAGGCCCCAUAAGGCAUGGAUACUGUCUCAGAGUGUUUUUUAUUAUUUCCACUUGACAUAGGUAAGCACAACUACAGUCCCAGUUUGGUUAGGUUAUAGCAUUGAAGCAAGCCUUUAAAACGUGCUACUUGUGUAAAUCUAUAUAAAAAUAUACCCAAUAAGGAACAAGUAGAGCUGUACAAUGUGUUUGCCUUCCAGUUAAUGCCAGGAUAGGGGGGCACAGAUCAGCAUUCAUGUCUCACUCCCCGUCGGUAUCCGGCCUGAGCCGGGGAACCCAAUGAUCCAAGCAGCGGACCCAAUUCGGUGAUAAACCCUACUCAUAUGCCACCUGAGGCACAUUGCACAUACUCUAAGAAGAAGAAGAAUGCCAGGUCACUCAUACCUUGCCCUCCUGACCUCAGACACUGCCUCCUGAGCAAAGUGAGGGAUGACUGCUCAUCAGUUCAGAGGAACUUGCCUGUACUGUGAAUAUCAUUAACAUCAAGGACACAUUAAGGACUAUUUGUAAUCGUUUGUCACCAAGGUAAACAGAGAAGCAGAUUUGUGAAUGAAGCUGAUUGGACCGAAAUAUGGGGUGCAGCAAGAAUAGAGACAUUUUUGAGAUGUUACUAGAGGACAGGGAACAGAAUUCUAGGAUGACCUUAACUCUCAGCGAUAAUAGAGUAGAACAAGCCCAUAGUAUUUAUAUGGACUUGUUUAACAUUCCAUGCUGUUUGUAGGUGUAUACGUGGGGUGUCUGUGUUCUCUCUAUAAGAGGAUUUCUGGGCUGUCUGUCCCUUAGGCAGCACCAAUAUUAAGGAGAUAAAAGAUUUUAUAAAUGAAGGCUGCAAUUGUUCGGAUGUGCUGGGAACUAUUUCUAAACAUGCACAUUGGUGACUGAUUUAUACAUGUUGUCUGUGCACUGGAAGAGGAAAGAAAGAUUUGCUGGUACUUAGCAUAACUGUUGCAGGAAGAAAAAAGCAGUGGAGAAAGGUGUGGCAGUGUGUUGUGUUAUCUGUCUGUGCUUAGUAAUGCAUAGCCUCCUUCCUGCAAAGAUAUAGGUCAGACAAACUAUGCACAUAAUUAUAAUUUUUCCUGGUCACUCCAACAACUUAAAAAAUCUGGAUCUGAACACACUGGCAUCACUGAAGUAGUUUGGAUCUGUAGCUAAGACAGUAUCACAGGUCAUUUUCUCUAUAACAAACCAAACACCUGCAUCAGAACCCCCUUGAAUUUUCAGCAUGGCCCAUCUGUAUCCUGAACCAGAUGUGUCUCAUGAUGUGGAGAUGGCAUAACUGUCUCUGUAAAUUCAUCUGGAAUACACAUUAAAGGAACCUAAAUGGAGUAUGUAGUAUUCAUGGUGGGUUUAUGUGUAAUCAAAAUUAUAUGCAGUUUUGCUCACCAUAUUCCUUAGAUGUGAAACUAUCAUUUGUAGUAUUGAGAUGCCCAUGCAGAUGUAGCUAAAAUCCUGCAGUCAUGUUUCCUAAUACGAGAAUAAUCUAACUACCAACUACAGGAGAAGAGAUCCAUAACUAAGUAGAAAUUACAACCAAUUGAAACGGGGAAAACUAAAAAAUAAACCUAAUACACAGUUUCCUUAAGAAAAGGACUCAUGGUUAACAAGUGUCACCCAUGAUGCCCCCCACACUUUAUGUAAUGGAGUUUUAAAAUAGUUUGGCCAUAACUAUAUUAGCAGCUUUUUGAGUGGAACCCAAGGUGGAACAAUCCCUGUCCCAAGGAUCUUAGUGCAUCUGCAAUUGGUACUGCUGUGCCAUCUACAGAGCAAAAGUCCCCACAUGAAUUCUCACCUAAUGCCAAAAUGGAGAACAGAUGUUUCAUUUUACAAGUAUUGAACAAAGAUGGCAUCAGGUGCCUCGGGUCCCCAGAUAUCAAAGUGAUCGUUUGAUUUAAGAAUGUAACAAUGAGCAACCAACUGGUAAGAAACAGCUAAGGACCAAUAUCUAAUUGAGACCAGCUGGUCUCCAGGGUUUCUACAUAUGAAUUCAAUUAGUCUCUGCGUCAGUAAUUCUCUGUUCCCACCCUGUCAUGGUUUUGGAAUAAAUACUGUACUAUUGCCAUGGAUCUCCAGGUGCUGAGUGUGUGUCCCGUAGUUAUACAGUCCUUGUCUAGUGAUGGCUUUGUCUUUUUCUUUCUCUCUUUUUAAACUCUGCUUUUAGAUUCUGUUCUCUGGCUUUUCAUGCUUGGAGGUUACCCGUAUAAUUGUGAGCCAGUGAGAACACAAUAAAAGUCAUCAUAAAUUCAGGAUCACAUGGCAUCUAGGUCUGAUGUUCCUUCUUUUACCAUUAUUAAGACGAUAAUAAGCAUGUUUACAUUUUUAUAAUAAUUUUGCACUAUGCAUAGACAGCCUAAUUCUCUGUUGUGCUUAAGCCCCUUUAUGUUGAUUUUGGUUGAUUUGAAUAAAGGAUCCUUAAACCAGAAGGCAGCAAUCACUUCCAGGGACUGCCCCCGGUGUGAGAAGAUUCCCUGGCCAGCUAGAGGUGUCAGAAAGACUUACACCAAGCUCCUCUCUGGUCCCCAGUGCAGGGUGUGUGUCAGAGGGGAAGGGCUGUGCCUUUAAGGGAUCAUUGUUGGACCAAAUAUAAGUUUGAGCUGCGGAGCAGCCAUCAGUCCUUCUUAAGUCAAUGGGAACUUCGAGCGCUUUGUACAUCUGCAAAUCAGGCCACUGCAUUAGAAGGAAAAUUUUCAAAGGCACACAUGGAAGUGAAGCACCCAGCUUCCAUAGACUUUUACUGGGAGCUGGACAACUAACUGCGCUUCCUACCUUUGAAAAUCUCCCUCUGGAACCAAAAUAUGUAUUUAGGAGUCCUUUGAACAGUUUGCCUUAAAUAUCUGAGACUACAUUUCUAACCUAGGCAAAAUGCAUUCUAAUUUCUGCAAUGCUGAAUACUGGCUCCUCUUACUCACAGUGCCAAACUUCACUGAUAGUAUUGCAUCUGAAACCACCAACUUACAAUUAUGUAACAGUAGCAUGGUUUUAAAAGAUGCUGUCCUUGUAAUAGGACACAUGAAGGUGGAAAUUACCAUUUGUCUGACCGCUACCAAACUUUAGAGCUGACAAACAGCUGUUUUCCUGUGUAAGGAAGUUCGUUCAUGCAGAAUUCAGAAAAUUAGCUACUAUGAUCAUUCAAAUCUAAUCGUUGAGCUUUUUAGCCCUUUUUAAAAUAUAUAUAUUUAAAGGUGUGGUUCAGUACCCCAUGCUGUGUUUACCAAGCUGUGUAUUUACACUUAUUUACUACUUUUCAGAAUUCAAAGUGAUUAGGGAAAAAUGGAAGAAUUCAUGCUGCAGGACAGGUCUGAACAAAGAAGAGCAGAACAUGGAGAAGUGCAGGGACUUGGCUCCUGCUGGAAAGAAAGUGCAAAAAGUGAAGCUACUGCUCCCUGUGAGCUCUGCUUCCUUGCAUUUGAUUUCAUUUUUAUGUUAGCAGGGAGACGCUCAUUUACUGCUUGCUGCUGCCGUUUCUGGAAAGUACAUGUUCCAGUUGCAGUUUCCUAUGGAACGUCUUUACCAAUGAAGAGACCAUCAGGAUCUAACUGCUGUAUCUGGAAACCCUUGGGGGAGAGAGGCACAUUUCUAGCUUGUCAUUCUGCCUGGAUGAGAUUGGAGGCUCAUUACCGAAUUAGAAUAUUAUAAACCUAACAACACACAGCUAAAUUUCAGGUUUCCAAAGUCAUUCUUCAUAACUCCCCCUCUCCCACCCCCUCCCCCACCCAAUAGACUGCAGCCCCUUUGUCAGAUAAACUUUCUAAAGAACAGCACUGAAGAGGAAGGCAGGAGGGAAAGAGCAGCAGAGUGGAGUGAUUAGAAAAUGGAACAGGUUCUCAUUGGGGUGCAGAGCAUGUACGAAUUACUCGAGACAUUAUGGAUGACAGGCAUCAUUUCAUCCUGGAUCCCACCGUGACUGUAAACUUGCUCAUCUGUGCAUUUGCUACAGGCCUAGAAUAUUUUACAGUUCAAGUUAUCCUAAGCACCGUUAUUUCCUCCUUUUUCUCAAGAAGGCUCUGGAAUAGACACCUGAUCAAGAAGACCACUGUACCCAUUUUUCCUUCAUGAUGGAACUGCCUAUUAUCGCUGGCUUGAGGAAUUGGUGGUGGACUACAGCGCUGUACGUCACUAGUUCAACUGUGACGCCAUUCAGCAUGAAUAAAAAUUGGUGAAUUAUGAGAAUGGAAUGGAUCCGGUACCUAUAGCAUUUUUUUAAUACUACCCUAAUCACUGUGGUACCCAAACUCCUAAUGACAAGAAUUGCAAAAACAACCCAAAAUGUGCUAUUAGAGGUUGGACUGCUUAGUGCCCUUAUCCAUUGAGUGAACGUAGAGACUCAGUUAUCCUCCUACCCGUAUGGACAUUUGCUCCAGGACAGGGUUUUGGAGUAGCAUGGGAGAAGCUGUUGUUGCUCUAUUUGUGGAAUGGGUGUGGCAUGGACAUCAGCACUUCCAUCUCCUGCAUUAAUUCGCUUAUUUUUUAAAGGAAUGUUAAAGAAUAUGUAUGUAUGUGUAUAAAUAUAAAUAAAAUAUUACCCAUUUCAAGUUACUUUGAGACAGAUUAGGAGUCAGCUGGCUGUAGCCAAAGUUGUGACUAGCAUUUUUGGGAAAAUACCUUAUUGUAUCAAAACAGGUCAAGUGUAACGUGAAAUGCAUGGCUAGGGUGUGCAGAGAUGCAGUGCAGCAGGACUGUGGGGUUUUCUCUUUUAAACCAAGUUUCUGUUAUCCCUGAAGGGAGAACCAAAGUCAUUUAACUUCUUAACAUAAAAGAAGAGACAGAAGGAAAACUUCCUCCUUUGCCUCUUUCAGGUUGUGGCAUUUCUAGAAAGCUGCUGAAUCACAUCCUUAUGAUACAUCGUCAUGGAAAUGGGCCCCCUCAGAUUUCACUCAUGGAAGCAGCAUCCUAUUUACUUACAUUUCAUAGAUGGUUAAGUCCAGAAGAGACCUUUCUGAUCAUCUAAUAUGACCUCCUGCCAACACAGGCCAUAACUCCUGCUUUGGAGCAAAUUUAUUUUCACCAGUACUCCCUACUAUAAUAUGAAACUACAUUAUUUCUAAAUCUUCCUU